UAGAGUUUGAUCCUGGCUCAGAUUGAACGCUGGCGGCAGGCCUAACACAUGCAAGUCGAGCGGAUGACGGGAGCUUGCUCCUUGAUUCAGCGGCGGACGGGUGAGUAAUGCCUAGGAAUCUGCCUGGUAGUGGGGGACAACGUUUCGAAAGGAACGCUAAUACCGCAUACGUCCUACGGGAGAAAGCAGGGGACCUUCAGGCCUUGCGCUAUCAGAUGAGCCUAGGUCGGAUUAGCUAGUUGGUGGGGUAAUGGCUCACCAAGGCGACGAUCCGUAACUGGUCUGAGAGGAUGAUCAGUCACACUGGAACUGAGACACGGUCCAGACUCCUACGGGAGGCAGCAGUGGGGAAUAUUGGACAAUGGGCGAAAGCCUGAUCCAGCCAUGCCGCGUGUGUGAAGAAGGUCUUCGGAUUGUAAAGCACUUUAAGUUGGGAGGAAGGGCAGUAAGUUAAUACCUUGCUGUUUUGACGUUACCGACAGAAUAAGCACCGGCUAACUCUGUGCCAGCAGCCGCGGUAAUACAGAGGGUGCAAGCGUUAAUCGGAAUUACUGGGCGUAAAGCGCGCGUAGGUGUUUUGUUAAGUUGGAUGUGAAAGCCCCGGGCUCAACCCUGGGAACUGCAUCCAAAAACUGGCA
rnacentral:rRNA from 1 species